rnacentral:rRNA from 1 species
CUACCUGCAGUCGAGGGGUACAGGGAAGAGCUUGCUCUUUCGCUGACGACCGGCGCACGGGUGCGUAACGCGUAUACAACCUACCUUUUGGAGGGGAAUAGCCCAGGGAAACUUGGAUUAAUGCCCCAUAGUAUGGGAAUAUCUCCUGAUAUUUUCAUUAAACAUUUAUGGCCAUUAGAUGGGUAUGCGUCCUAUUAGUUAGUUGGUAAGGUAACGGCUUACCAAGGCAGCGAUAGGUAGGGGUCCUGAGAGGGAGAUCCCCCACACUGGUACUGAGACACGGACCAGACUCCUACGGGAGGCAGCAGUGAGGAAUAUUGGACAAUGGGCGAGAGCCUGAUCCAGCCAUGCCGCGUGCAGGAAGACUGCCCUAUGGGUUGUAAACUGCUUUUACAGAGGAAGAACCACUCCCACGUGUGGGAGUUUGACGGUACUCUGCGAAUAAGGAUCGGCUAACUCCGUGCCAGCAGCCGCGGUAAUACGGAGGAUCCAAGCGUUAUCCGGAAUCAUUGGGUUUAAAGGGUCCGUAGGCGGGCAGUUAAGUCAGUGGUGAAAGUCUUCCGCUCAACGGGAGAACUGCCAUUGAUACUGAUUGUCUUGAGUUAUUAUGAAGUGGUUAGAAUGAGUAGUGUAGCGGUGAAAUGCAUAGAUAUUACUCAGAAUACCGAUUGCGAAGGCAGAUCACUAAUAAUAUACUGACGCUGAUGGACGAAAGCGUAGGUAGCGAACAGGAUUAGAUACCCUGGUAGUCUACGCCGUAAACGAUGGUUACUAGCUGUUCGGUCCGAUUAAGGGCUGAGUGGUUAAGCGAAAGUGAUAAGUAACCCACCUGGGGAGUACGUUCGCAAGAAUGAAACUCAAAGGAAUUGACGGGGGCCCGCACAAGCGGUGGAGCAUGUGGUUUAAUUCGAUGAUACGCGAGGAACCUUACCAGGGCUUAAAUGUAGUCUGACAGGAGUGGAAACACUUUUUUCUUCGGACAGAUUACAAGGUGCUGCAUGGUUGUCGUCAGCUCGUGCCGUGAGGUGUCAGGCUAAGUCCUAUAACGAGCGCAACCCCUGUGGUUAGUUGCCAGCGAGUAAUGUCGGGAACUCUAGCCAGACUGCCGGUGCAAACCGUGAGGAAGGUGGGGAUGACGUCAAAUCAUCACGGCCCUUACGUCCUGGGCCACACACGUGCUACAAUGGUAGGGACAGAGAGCAGCCACUUCGCGAGAAGGAGCGAAUCUACAAACCCUAUCACAGUUCGGAUCGCAGUCUGCAACUCGACUGCGUGAAGCUGGAAUCGCUAGUAAUCGCAUAUCAGCCAUGAUGCGGUGAAUACGUUCCCGGGCCUUGUACACACCGCCCGUCAAGCCAUGGAAGCCGG